CAGUAGUCAUAUGCUUGUCUCAAAGAUUAAGCCAUGCAUGUCUAAGUACAAGCCUCACUAAGGUGAAACCGCGAAUGGCUCAUUAAAUCACACCUAAUGUACUGGACAGUCUCAGUUACUUGGAUAACUGCGGUAAUUCUGGAGCUAAUACAUGCGUACUAGCCGCGACUCACGGAGCGGUGCUUUUAUUAGAUCAAAACCAAACGGCCUCGAGCCGUCCCCCUGGUGAUUCUGAAUAACUUUGGGCUGAUCGCACGGACUCGUUCCGGCGACGUGUCCUUCCAAGGUGUGCCCUAUCAACUGUCGACUGUGGCAUAGACGCCCACAGUGGUUUUGACGGGUAACGGGGAAUUAGGGUUCGAUUCCGGAGAGGGAGCCUGAGAAACGGCUACCACUUCUACGGAAGGCAGCAGGCACGCAAAUUACCCACUGGCCGAAGGCCGAGGUAGUGACGAAAAAUAACGAUACCGGACUCAUCCGAGGCCCGGUAAUCGGAAUGAGUACACUUUAAAUCCUUUAACGAGGAACAAUUGGAGGGCAAGUCUGGUGCCAGCAGCCGCGGUAAUUCCAGCUCCAAUAGCGUAUAUUAAAGUUGUUGCGGUUAAAAAGCUCGUAGUUGGAUCUCGGCGGGCAGGGGGUGGUUCGCUCUUCAGCGCACUGCCCCGCUUUGCCCGUGUGAUUGGCGGAGGUUUCGGGGUGCUCUUCGUUGAGUGACUCGGAGCGCCGUCAGGUUUACUUUGAAAAAAUUAGAGUGCUCAAAGCAGGCUUUCACGCUUGAAUAUUCGUGCAUGGAAUAAUGGAAUAGGAACUCGUUUCUAUUUUGUUGGUUUUCGGAAAUCGAGUUAAUGAUUAACAGGGACAAUUGGGGGCAUUAGUAUUCAGACGACAGAGGUGAAAUUCUUGGACCGUCUGAAGACUGACUACUGCGAAAGCAUUUGCCAAGAGUGUUUUCAUUAAUCAAGAACGAAAGUUAGAGGUUCGAAGGCGAUCAGAUACCGCCCUAGUUCUAACCAUAAACGAUGCCAGCUAGCGAUCUGCCGAGUUUUUUUUGUAGGCUCCGCAGGAAGCUUUCGGGAAACCAAAGCUUUUGGGUUCCGGGGGAAGUAUGGUUGCAAAGCUGAAACUUAAAGGAAUUGACGGAAGGGCACCACCAGGAGUGGAGCCUGCGGCUUAAUUUGACUCAACACGGGAAAUCUCACCAGGCCCGGACACUGGAA
rnacentral:rRNA from 1 species